rnacentral:rRNA from 1 species
AUUGAACGCUGGCGGCAGGCCUAACACAUGCAAGUCGAACGGUAACAGGAAGAAGCUUGCUUCUUUGCUGACGAGUGGCGGACGGGUGAGUAAUGUCUGGGAAACUGCCUGAUGGAGGGGGAUAACUACUGGAAACGGUAGCUAAUACCGCAUAACGUCGCAAGACCAAAGAGGGGGACCUUCGGGCCUCUUGCCAUCGGAUGUGCCCAGAUGGGAUUAGCUAGUAGGUGGGGUAACGGCUCACCUAGGCGACGAUCCCUAGCUGGUCUGAGAGGGUGACCAGCCACACUGGCACUGAGACACGGUACAGACUCCUACGGGGGGCAGCGGUGGGGAAUAUUGCGCGAUGGACGCAAGCCGGAUGCAGCCAUGCGGCGUGUAUGAAGAAGGCCUUCGGGUUGUAAAGUACUUUAAGCGGGGAGGAAGGGAGUAAAGUUAAUACCUUUGCUCAUUGACGUUACCCGCAGAAGAAGCACCGGCUAACUCCGUG